UUGACAGCUAGCUCAGUCCUAGGUAUAAUACUAGUAAGUUAGGUGGCUCAAGUAUGUUUUAGAGCUCGAAAGAGCAAGUUAAAAUAAGGCUAGUCCGUUAUCAACUUGAAAAAGUGGCACCGAGUCGGUGCUUUUUUU
rnacentral:misc_RNA from 1 species